AAACUAAGGGCGAAUUCCGGUUUCAGUAGCGAACCCAUUUUCCGCCCAUUUCGACCACGCGACAAUUUCCUAAAACACUAAAUGCAGCUACCUCUGCAGCGCGUGCCUAUUUAUGUGACGUCAUGCCAUCACGUGAAGUCUUGAGUUGACACACGAGUGUUGGUGAGGUACAAAAGACAACGAGCACAAAACGGAGGACACCAAGAAUAAAACAUUUCGACGACGGGAGAAAAAGUGCCAGACAUGGCUGAAUGUCAGGUAGCGCUGCAGGAUUUCGUCCGGACCGGUCGUACAGGCAGAAGAAAUGCUAUGCCAGAUGUUAUGUCAGCCCAAUAUAUGCAAGUGAGCACUGCUGGAUUAUCAGAAGUCCUGGACAGUAUGAACUUUGGUGCUUCAACUUCAGGCGAGACACAACCAGGGACCACAGGUCCUGAGGCACAAACUGGCCCAACAUAGAGUUUAUUUACAAUAGUUCGUUGAAACUGUUAUUUAUUAGACUCUGGUGAAGUGAGAAGUGUUUAUGUCCUAUAGUGACAAGUUUAUGCCGCCUUUUAUUAAAAUAACACGUUUGUGGUGUCCAGAACAUUUCUAUAUACAGAUAUUUGAUGACAGUUGCUGUACGACGUGGUUGUGAAGGCAUUCAACCCUUCUUUGUAAAUAUUCCAAUGUACAAAAAUAAAAUAUAAUGAGUAUUAGGUGAA